GUAGUUAGCCGGGGCUUCCUCCUCAGGUACCGUCACUUCCUUCUUCCCUGAGGACAGAGGUUUACAAUCCGAAAACAUUCAUCCCUCACGCGGCGUUGCUGGGUCAGGCUUUCGCCCAUUGCCCAAUAUUCCCCACUGCUGCCUCCCGUAGGAGUCUGGACCGUUUCUCAGUUCCAGUGUGGCCGAUCACCCUCUCAGGUCGGCUACCCAUCGUUGCCUUGGUGGGCCGUUACCUCACCAACUAGCUAAUGGGACGCGAACUCACCUCAGACCGGAUUGCUCCUUUUACCUCUGCACCAUGCGAUGCUAUGGUCUUAUGCGGUAUUAGCAACUGUUUCCAGUUGUUAUCCCCCUGUCUGAGACAGAUUGUUCACGCGUUACUCACCCGUCCGCCGCUCAAACAGAAACCGAAGCCUCUGUCUUCGCUCGACUUGCAUGUGUUAGGCACGCCGCCAGCGUUCGUCCUGAGCCAGAAUCGAACCCUGA
rnacentral:rRNA from 1 species